rnacentral:rRNA from 1 species
UACAGAGAGUGCAAGCGUUAAUCGGAAUUAUUGGGCGUAAAGCGCGCGUAGGUGGAUGCUUAAGUCGGUUGUGAAAUCCCCGGGCUUAACCUGGGAAUUGCAAUCGAUACUGAAUAUCUUAGAGUAUGGUAGAGGGAAGUGGAAUUUCCGGUGUAGCGGUGAAAUGCGUAGAUAUCGGAAAGAACACCAGUGGCGAAAGCGACUUCCUGGACCAAUACUGACGCUGAGGCGCGAAAGCGUGGGGAGCAAACAGG